UACGUAGGGGGCGAGCGUUAUCCAGAUUUACUGGGCGUAAAGCGCGUGUAGGCGGCUGGUUAGGUGUGAUGUGAAAUCCUCGGGCUCAACCCGAGAACUGCAUUGCAAACCGGCCUGGCUAGAGUGCAGGAGGGGGAUGGAAUUCCGCGUGUAGCAGUGAAAUGCGUAGAUAUGCGGAGGAACACCGAUGGCGAAGGCAAUCCCCUGGGCCUGCACUGACGCUCAUGCACGAAAGCGUGGGGAGCAAACAGG
rnacentral:rRNA from 1 species